rnacentral:rRNA from 1 species
GACGAACGCUGGCGGCGUGCUUAACACAUGCAAGUCGAACGGAAAGGCCCUGCUUUUGUGGGGUGCUCGAGUGGCGAACGGGUGAGUAACACGUGAGUAACCUGCCCUUGACUGUGGGAUAACUUCAGGAAACUGGGGCUAAUACCGGAUAUGAGCUCCUGCUGCAUGGUGGGGGUUGGAAAGUUUCGGCGGUUGGGGAUGGACUCGCGGCUUAUCAGCUUGUUGGUGGGGUAGUGGCUUACCAAGGCUUUGACGGGUAGCCGGCCUGAGAGGGUGACCGGCCACAUUGGGACUGAGAUACGGCCCAGACUCCUACGGGAGGCAGCAGUGGGGAAUAUUGCACAAUGGGCGGAAGCCUGAUGCAGCAACGCCGCGUGCGGGAUGACGGCCUUCGGGUUGUAAACCGCUUUCGCCUGUGACGAAGCGUGAGUGACGGUAAUGGGUAAAGAAGCACCGGCUAACUACGUG